rnacentral:rRNA from 1 species
UACAGAGGGGGCAAGCGUUAUUCGGAAUUAUUGGGCGUAAAGGGCGCGUAGGCGGCCUGGCAAGUGGAAGGUGAAAUCCCUCGGCUUAACCGAGGAACUGCCCUCCAAACUGCUUGGCUUGAGUCCGGGAGAGGUGAGUGGAAUUCCCAGUGUAGCGGUGAAAUGCGUAGAUAUCGGGAGGAACACCAGUGGCGAAGGCGGUUGCCUGGAGCUUUGCUGACGCUGAGGCGCGAAAGCGUGGGGAGCGAUCCGG